rnacentral:rRNA from 1 species
AGUGAACGCUGGCGGUAGGCCUAACACAUGCAAGUCGAACGGCAGCACAGUAAGAUCUUGCUCUUACGGGUGGCGAGUGGCGGACGGGUGAGGAAUACAUCGGAAUCUACUUUUUCGUGGGGGUUAACGUAGGGAAACUUACGCUAAUACCGCAUACGACCUACGGGGGAAAGCAGGGGAUCUUCUGACCUUGCGCGAUUGAAUUAGCCGAUGUCGGAUUAGCUAGUGGGCGGGGUAAAGGCCCACCAAGGCGACGAUCCGUAGCUGGUCUGAGAGGAUGAUCAGCCACACUGGAACUGAGACACGGUCAAGACUCCUACGGGAGGCAGCAGUCGGGAAUAUUGGACAAUGGGCGCAAGCCUGACCCAACCAUACCGCGUGUGUGAAGAAGGCCUUCGGGUUGUAAAGCCGUUUUGUUGGGAAAGAACAGCAGCAGGUUAAUACCACGCGGUUCUGACGGUACCCAAAGAAUAAGCACCGGCUAACUUCGUG